rnacentral:rRNA from 1 species
GUAGGUGGCAAGCGUUGUCCGGAAUUAUGGGGCGUAAAGCGCGCGCAGGGCGGUCCUUUAAGUCUGAUGUGAAAGCCCACGGCUCAACCGUGGAGGGUCAUUGGAAACUGGGGGACUUGAGUACAGAAGAGGAAAGCGGAAUUCCAAGUGUAGCGGUGAAAUGCGUAGAGAUUUGGAGGAACACCAGUGGCGAAGGCGGCUUUCUGGUCUGUAACUGACGCUGAGGCGCGAAAGCGUGGGGAGCAAACAGGAUUAGAUACCCUGGUAGUCCACGCCGUAAACGAUGAGUGCUAAGUGUUAGGGGGUUUCCGCCCCUUAGUGCUGCAGCUAACGCAUUAAGCACUCCGCCUGGGGAGUACGGCCGCAAGGCUG